CCUAGCUCUCACGAGCCAGGCUAUGUUAAGCCGUCCCUUCGGGACU
rnacentral:sRNA from 18 species